CAAAAAAUUUCGCUGUCGUUACUUUUCCAAGCGAUGGAAAUAAUGAAGAAGAAACUGUAUCAGAAGUUCCAUCUUUAUGGCUUUCUUCCAAUUUAAAAGAAUGCUGGUGGCCGUUGGUAAAAAAAUGUAAAUACCUUUAUUAUAAAACAAAUUCCACCUGUUAUUGAUGAUCCUAAAUGGGAAUCUUAUCCCAUUAAAUUUCAUGGAUAUUAUGAUUUAUUAGAAGAAGCUAGACAGAGAGCAACAAACUAUUCUUCAAAUAAGGAAAGCAAUAUAAAUGAAAUAAAGAAGUCCGCACAAGACAGUUGAAUAAAACUGUUUCUCACGAUGAGUCAGAAUCUGAUUCUGAUGACUCACGUUUAGUUAUACCAAAUCCACCAAAUCUUACUGUAAAUACAAAUGCCUCGCAAUCAAUUAACAAAAGUCAAUCUAUCGCAACUGUUAUUAAUUCAUCAGUUGUCAGCAAUGAUAUUGACCUGGAGAUUCUUGAUGGAAUUUUAGUAUCACUUAAAAGUAUACAGGAUGUACAUACGUUAAUAUCAGAUGGAUUCGAAAAAAUGGAAGGUCAUUUUAAGAAUAUAUAUACAGCUAUAACUACAGUUACAUUAGGAAUACAAGAAUGAAUACUAAAUGUUCAUUUAACAAAUAUAGAAAAA